rnacentral:rRNA from 1 species
AUACGGAGGAUCCGAGCGUUAUCCGGAUUUAUUGGGUUUAAAGGGAGCGUAGGUGGACAGUUAAGUCAGUUGUGAAAGUUUGCGGCUCAACCGUAAAAUUGCAGUUGAUACUGGCUGUCUUGAGUACAGUAGAGGUGGGAGGAAUUGGUGGUGUAGCGGUGAAAUGCUUAGAUAUCACGAAGAACUCCGAUUGCGAAGGCAGCUCACUGGACUGCAACUGACACUGAUGCUCGAAAGUGUGGGUAUCAAACAGGAUUAGAUACCCUGGUAGUCCACAAAGUAAACGAUGAAUACUCGCUGUUUGCGAUAUACAGUAAGCGGCCAAGCGAAAGCAUUAAGUAUUCCACCUGGGGAGUACGCCGGCAACGGUGAAACUCAAAUGAAUUGACGGGG